UACGAGGGGUGCAAGCGUUGCUCGGAAUUAUUGGGCGUAAAGGGUAGGUAGGUGGUCUCAUUUGUCAGGGGUGAAAGCCUUGGGCUUAACCUGAGAAGUGCCCCUGAAACGGUGAGACUUGAGUUCUGGAGAGGGUCGUGGAAUUCCCGGUGUAGCGGUGAAAUGCGUAGAGAUCGGGAGGAACACCAGAGGCGAAGGCGGCGACCUGGACAGAUACUGACACUCAACUACGAAAGCGUGGGGAGCAAACAGG
rnacentral:rRNA from 1 species